rnacentral:rRNA from 1 species
GAUGAACGCUGGCGGCGUGCCUAAUACAUGCAAGUCGAGCGAACGGACGAGAAGCUUGCUUCUCUGAUGUUAGCGGCGGACGGGUGAGUAACACGUGGAUAACCUACCUAUGAGACUGGGAUAACUUCGGGAAACCGUAGCUAAUACCGGAUAAUAUUUUGAACCGCAUUGUUCAAAAGUGAAAGACGGUCUUUCUGUUACUUAUAGAUGGAUCCGCGCUGCAUUAGCUAGUUGGUAAGGUAACGGCUUACCAAGGCAACGAAGCAUAGCCGACCUGAGAGGGUGAUCGGCCACACGGGAACUGAGAAACGGUCCAGACUCCUACGGGAGGCAGCAGUAGGGAAUCUUCCGCAAUGGGCGAAAGCCUGACGGAGCAACGCCGCGUGAGUGAUGAAGGUCUUCGGAUCGUAAAACUCUGUUAUUAGGGAAGAACAUAUGUGUAAGUAACUGUGCACAUCUUGACGGUACCUAAUCAGAAAGCCACGGCUAACUACGUG